UAGGGAAUCUUCCGCAAUGGGCGAAAGCCUGACGGAGCAACGCCGCGUGAGUGAUGAAGGUCUUCGGAUCGUAAAACUCUGUUAUUAGGGAAGAACAAAUGUGUAAGUAACUAUGCACGUCUUGACGGUACCUAAUCAGAAAGCCACGGCUAACUACGUGCCAGCAGCCGCGGUAAUACGUAGGUGGCAAGCGUUAUCCGGAAUUAUUGGGCGUAAAGCGCGCGUAGGCGGUUUUUUAAGUCUGAUGUGAAAGCCCACGGCUCAACCGUGGAGGGUCAUUGGAAACUGGAAAACUUGAGUGCAGAAGAGGAAAGUGGAAUUCCAUGUGUAGCGGUGAAAUGCGCAGAGAUAUGGAGGAACACCAGUGGCGAAGGCGACUUUCUGGUCUGUAGCUGACGCUGAUGUGCGAAAGCGUGGGGAUCAAACAGGAUUAGAUACCCUGGUAGUCCACGCCGUAAACGAUGAGUGCUAAGUGUUAGGGGGUUUCCGCCCCUUAGUGCUGCAGCUAACGCAUUAAGCACUCCGCCUGGGGAGUACGACCGCAAGGUUGAAACUCAAAGGAAUUGACGGGGGCCCGCACAAGCGGUGGAGCAUGUGGUUUAAUUCGAUGC
rnacentral:rRNA from 1 species